rnacentral:lncRNA from 12 species
GAACCAGCCUUGCCAACACCUUGAUUUUGGCUCUGUGAGACCCACUUCUGACUUCUGACCUCCAGAACUAUAAGAAAAUUAGUUUGUUAUGUUUUAAACCACCGAGUCUGUAAUUUGUUACAGCAGCAAUGGGAAACUAAUACACUUACCCAAGGUCCAAAUAGCAGUGGCAGAGCCAAGGCCAGAAUCCGAGGAUCCAGAUCUCCCAGCCCCCUGUUCUUUCCACGACUCUCCACUGCCUCUGCCUCCUAAAGCUUAGUUGGUUUUCCAAUUUGCUUUCGUCUUGUUUUCCAGAGGAAGAAAUCAUUAGAGAUGCAGCUGCUUGCAUGCAAGAGCCUGUGCAUGAGGCCAGCGCCACAGAUGAUGGUAUUUGAAGCAAGAAGGUUCUUUGGGAAACUUUAAGGUAUGAGCCUGGCAAAGGAGGAGGCUGGCCUCGGAAAAUAAGAGCAUGCCUAUUCCAGAAAACCAAGACAGUGCACUCAUCAUGUACCUUGCCGGCUCUCCGUGACCUGUGCAUAUGUGCGCACAUCCCCACAGGGCUCCGGACAACCGCACCAGCAGCCCCUGUCUUCUGCAUGUCAGCCCUGGCUCAUAUGGAGUACACCCUCUUAUUGAGCAGAGGUAAGAGGGAGGGAGUGGAGAUGAAUGAGAAAGAGAGUCCGGGCCAGUCUUCCUGGGUGCUCCCCAGGAAUUUCGAUUCUUUCUUGGUAGGCAGGCGGGUGAGAAAUCACAGACACAC